CCUACGGGAGGCAGCAGUGGGGAAUUUUGGACAAUGGGGGCAACCCUGAUCCAGCCAUUCCGCGUGAGUGAAGAAGGCCUUCGGGUUGUAAAGCUCUUUCGGCAGGAACGAAACGGUGCGCUCUAACAUAGCGCGCUACUGACGGUACCUGAAGAAGAAGCACCGGCUAACUACGUGCCAGCAGCCGCGGUAAU
rnacentral:rRNA from 1 species